rnacentral:rRNA from 1 species
UACGAAGGGAGCUAGCGUUGUUCGGAAUCACUGGGCGUAAAGCGCAUGUAGGCGGAUCCAUAAGUCGGGCGUGAAAUCCCCAGGCUCAACCUGGGAACUGCGUUCGAAACUGUGGGUCUAGAGUGUCGGAGAGGAUGGCGGAAUUCCUGGUGUAGAGGUGAAAUUCGUAGAUAUCAGGAGGAACACCGGUGGCGAAGGCGGCCAUCUGGACGACAACUGACGCUGAGAUGCGAAAGCGUGGGGAGCAAACAGG